rnacentral:rRNA from 1 species
AUAUCAAUAAGCGGAGGAAAAGAAACUAACAAGGAUUCCCCUAGUAACUGCGAGUGAAGCGGGAAGAGCUCAAAUUUGAAAUCUGGCGGCCCCGCCGUCCGAGUUGUAUUCUGGAGAAGCGUCUUCCGCGCCGGACCGUGUACAAGUCCCUUGGAACAGGGCGUCGUAGAGGGUGAGAAUCCCGUCUCUGACACGGACCCCCGGUGCUAUGUGAUGCGCUCUCGACGAGUCGAGUUGUUUGGGAAUGCAGCUCAAAAUGGGUGGUAAAUUCCAUCUAAAGCUAAAUAUUGGCGAGAGACCGAUAGCGAACAAGUACCGUGAGGGAAAGAUGAAAAGCACUUUGGAAAGAGAGUAAAACAGUACGUGAAAUUGUUGAAAGGGAAACGCUUGAAGUCAGUCGCGUCUGCCGGAACUCAGCCUUGCUUCUGCUUGGUGCACUUUCCGGGCCGGACGGGCCAGCAUCGGUUUCGGGCGACGGACACUGGCGUGGGGAAGGUGGCAGCUCCGGCUGUGUUAUAGCCCCGCGUCGCAAACGCCGUCUGGGACCGAGGAAUCCGGCGAAAGCCUGGGAUGCUGGCGUAAUGGCUUUAAGCGACCCGUCUUGAAACACGGACCAAGGAGUGCUACGUGCUCGCAAGUGUUUGGGUGGGAAACCCGAGCGCGAAAUGAAAGUGAAAGUCGAUACCCCUCGCGGGGGCACCGACGCCCGAGCCUGAUGUUUUCGGACGGCCUUGCGGUAGAGCGAGUGCGUUGCGACCCGAAAGAUGGUGAACUAUUCCUGAGGAGGGCGAAGCCAGAGGAAACUCUGGUGGAGGCUCGUAGCGGUUCUGACGUGCAAAUCGAUCGCAGGACUUGGGUAUAGGGGCGAAAGACUAAUCGAACCAUCUAGUAGCUGGUUCCUGC